GCUAAGGGCCUCCAGUGCGCCGGAGAUCUUCGGUUAACCUGGCGAACGGAGCAGCUGACUCCGACUGGGACUGAAGCGGCGACAGGUUUUGUGUGCGUUGCGGGCGAGUAACCAAAAUGGAACUGGCCAUUGCUGGCGCAGUGGGUCGGGCAGAGCUUUGUCGGCCAUGCAACCGGAGGGUGGAAAGCAAAUCCCCGUUGAGCCCUCUGAAAUAUGGACAGUUAUGACCCCUACCCAUCGCCCAUCCAUUGUCCAACGGACCUUAUGCAAAUGCAAAUGCCACUUGGCAGCUGCCAGUCACAUGUCCGCCGCUCGGCUGGUGGCAAGAGUUUGUGGCCAGAAGGAAAAAUAAACCGCUGAAAUCGAUUGGCCCUGCCAUUGGCCCUGCCAGGCUUGCGGCAAUUAAUUGGCAUUAAUCAACUUAAUUAUGAAAUAUUCGAUAAGAUUGCGACUCCACUCCUCGGGCGGCGAUACUCGUGCGGAAAAACGAAAUUAUCACGGAGUGGGUUAGGAGUCUCAGGUUUGGCGGCCAGUCGAUUCUGGGAUGCUCUAUAUGAAGUGACACAUUUUACAGGUCUAGAUACUAUACUUAUUAAGUAAUAGAUCAAUUCUGAUCUAAUGUUUUUGUUUAUUUCCCCAAAUAAUCAAUUCCAUAAAACCCUAGAAUUACCAUCACAUAAUAGAUUGAUCAAUUUUAUGUGGUUUAUAUUGGCUAGAUGUUAUAAAAAAUAAAUAAUAGAUAAAUUCA